AACGAACGCUGGCGGCAGGCCUAACACAUGCAAGUCGAACGCUGUAGCAAUACAGAGUGGCAGACGGGUGAGUAACGCGUGGGAACAUGCCCUUCGGUUCGGAAUAACUCAGGGAAACUUGAGCUAAUACCGGAUACGCCCUUAGGGGGAAAGAUUUAUUGCCUAAGGAUUGGCCCGCGUCCGAUUAGCUAGUUGGUGAGGUAACGGCUCACCAAGGCGACGAUCGGUAGCUGGUCUGAGAGGAUGAUCAGCCACACUGGGACUGAGACACGGCCCAGACUCCUACGGGAGGCAGCAGUGGGGAAUAUUGGACAAUGGGCGCAAGCCUGAUCCAGCCAUGCCGCGUGAGUGAUGAAGGCCCUAGGGUUGUAAAGCUCUUUCGCCAGGGACGAUAAUGACGGUACCUGGAUAAGAAGCCCCGGCUAACUUCGUGCCAGCCGCCGCCGUAACAC
rnacentral:rRNA from 1 species